GACGAACGCUGGCGGCGUGCUUAACACAUGCAAGUCGAACGGAAAGGCCCUGCUUUUGUGGGGUGCUCGAGUGGCGAACGGGUGAGUAACACGUGAGUAACCUGCCCUUGACUUUGGGAUAACUUCAGGAAACUGGGGCUAAUACCGGAUAGGAGCUCCUGCUGCAUGGUGGGGGUUGGAAAGUUUCGGCGGUUGGGGAUGGACUCGCGGCUUAUCAGCUUGUUGGUGGGGUAGUGGCUUACCAAGGCUUUGACGGGUAGCCGGCCUGAGAGGGUGACCGGCCACAUGGGGACGGGGAUACGGCCAAGACUCCUACGGGAGGCAGCAGGGGGGAAUAUGGCACAAGGGGCGGAAGCCUGAGGCAGCAACGCCGCGUGCGGGAUGACGGCCUUCGGGUGGUAAACCGCUUUCGCCUGUGACGAAGCGUGAGGGAGGGGAAUGGGGAAAGAAGCACCGGUGAACUACGG
rnacentral:rRNA from 1 species